rnacentral:rRNA from 1 species
CCUACGGGGGACAGCAGUGAGGAAUAUUGGUCAAUGGGCGAGAGCCUGAACCAGCCAAGUCGCGUGAGGGAGUACUGCCCUAUGGGUUGUAAACCUCUUUUGUCGGGGAGCAAAAGACGGACGUGUCCGGCUGUGAGAGUACACGAAGAAAAAGCAUCGGCUAACUCCGUGCCAGCAGCCGCGGUAAUACGGAGGAUGCGAGCGUUAUCCGGAUUUAUUGGGGUUAAAGGGUGCGCAGGCGGAUUUUUAAGUCAGCGGUCAAAUCGUGGGGCUCAACCCCAUCCAGCCGUUGAAACUGGGGAUCUAGAGUGUGCGAGAGGUAUGCGGAAUGCGUGGUGUAGCGGUGAAAUGCAUAGAUAUCACGCAGAACCCCGAUUGCGAAGGCAGCAUACCGGUGCACAACUGACGCUCAGGCACGAAAGCGUGGGUAUCGAACAGGAUUAGAUACCCUUGUAGUC